UACGGGGGGGGCAAGCGUUGUUCGGAAUUACUGGGCGUAAAGGGCUCGUAGGUGGCCAACUAAGUCAGACGUGAAAUCCCUCGGCUUAACCGGGGAACUGCGUCUGAUACUGGAUGGCUUGAGUUUGGGAGAGGGAUGCGGAAUUCCAGGUGUAGCGGUGAAAUGCGUAGAUACCAGGAGGAACACCGGUGGCGAAGGCGGCUUCCUGGCCGAGUACUGACGCUGAGGCACGAAAGCGUGGGGAGCGAACGGG
rnacentral:rRNA from 1 species